rnacentral:tRNA from 1 species
AAUGGAUUGGCAGAUUUAUGCUUUAAAUUUAGGAUUUAAAUAAAUGAAUUAUAUUCAUAUUCAUUA